AGCCUGAUGCAGCCAUGCCGCGUGAAUGAUGAAGGCCUUAGGGUUGUAAAAUUCUUUCGCUAGGGAUGAUAAUGACAGUACCUGGUAAAGAAGCCCCGGCUAACUUCGUGCCAGCAGCCGCGGUAAUACGAAGGGGGCUAGCGUUGUUCGGAAUUACUGGGCGUAAAGCGCACGUAGGCGGACUUUUAAGUCAGAUGUGAAAUCCCGGGGCUCAACCUCGGAACUGCAUUUGAAACUGGAAGUCUAGAGACCAGGAGAGGUUAGCGGAAUACCGAGUGUAGAGGUGAAAUUCGUAGAUAUUCGGUGGAACACCAGUGGCGAAGGCGGCUAACUGGACUGGUACUGACGCUGAGGUGCGAAAGUGUGGGGAGCAAACAGGAUUAGAUACCCUGGUAGUCCACACCGUAAACGAUGAGAGCUAGUUGUUGGCAGGCAUGCCUGUCGGUGACGCAGCUAACGCAUAAGCUUCCGCCUG
rnacentral:rRNA from 1 species